GGGCUUGCUCCGGUUUCGACGGGGAUCUUGAACCUUUUGCAGCCAUCCGUAGAGGCGAUACGUUAAAACACCAAAUUAAAAUUAAACGCUGAAGAUAAUUUAGCACUCGCUGCCUAAUGGCGGCGCGUCGGCCUUGAAGCACCUGCGCUUUGAGUAACCGGCGUCAUCCUCGCAGGAAACGACACGGGCAAAGCUUUGAGUCCGCGGGCGUAUCAUGAAGCUACCGAGAUGUACCGCGUGUCUGCUUGCGAUACAUUGAGGGAAACGCGAAAGCACAAUAACAGACUGUGAUGGGAGAAACGAGAGCGGAUGGGUUUUCGGACAGGGGUUCGACUCCCCUCAGGUCCACGA
rnacentral:tmRNA from 1 species